GUGGUCGUUGCUGACAUAAGCAAAGUUGAGUCUGUUUUUAGCUGCGCUGCAGUAAGGUUCUGAAAAAUUCCUGCUCCAACGAUUUAAAGUGGAAUAGAAAUUUUUGCAUCGAAGCUGUGUCAACUUCAACAGAAAU